rnacentral:rRNA from 1 species
GAUCCUGGCUCAGGAUGAACGCUGGCGGCGUGCCUAACACAUGCAAGUCGAACGAGGUAAAUGAGAUGAAGUUUUCGGAUGGAUUCUUAUUUACCGAGUGGCGGACGGGUGAGUAACGCGUGGGUAACCUGCCUCAUACAGGGGGAUAACGAUUGGAAACGAUUGCUAAUACCGCAUAAGCGCACAGUACCACAUGGUACAGUGUGAAAAACUCCGGUGGUAUGAGAUGGACCCGCGUCUGAUUAG